rnacentral:rRNA from 1 species
AGGCCUAACACAUGCAAGUCGAGCGGAAACGACUUAACUGAACCUUCGGGGGACGUUAAGGGCGUCGAGCGGCGGACGGGUGAGUAAUGCUUAGGAAGUUGCCCGGUAGAGGGGGAUAACCAUUGGAAACGAUGGCUAAUACCGCAUAAUACCUUUGGGUCAAAGUGGGGGCUCUUCGGACCUCACGCUAUCGGAUACGCCUAAGUGAGAUUAGCUAGUUGGUGAGGUAAGAGCCCACCAAGGCGACGAUCUCUAGCUGGUCUGAGAGGAUGAUCAGCCACACUGGAACUGAGACACGGUCCAGACUCCUACGGGAGGCAGCAGUGGGGAAUAUUGCACAAUGGGCGCAAGCCUGAUGCAGCCAUGCCGCGUGUGUGAAGAAGGCCUUCGGGUUGUAAAGCACUUUCAGCAGUGAGGAAGGUAGUAAGUUUAAUACGCUUAUUGCUUGACGUUAGCUGCAGAAGAAGCGCC